AUGGAUUUUAUCUCAGGGCUGCCUUCUUCUAAUCAGUAUGACUCCAUCAUGGUGGUCAUUGACAAGUUUACAAAAUAUGGCCAUUUUGUUCCUGUCAAACACCCAUACACUGCCCAGAAAAUUGCUGAACUUUUCUUGGAUAAUAUUUACAAGCUUCAUGGCAUGCCCCUUUAUAUUGUAUCUGACAGGGAUCUAGUGUUCACAAGCAAAUUUUGGCAAGCUCUAGUGAAGAGGACGGGAGUUGUACUUAAUAUGAGCACGACAUACCAUCCUGAAACAGAUGGACAGACUGGACGUGUUAAUCAGCAGGUGGAGUGUUUUUUGAGGUGUUUCAUCAGUGCUCAUCCGAAGAAAUGGGCAAAAUGGCUCUCACUUUGUGAGUUUUGGUACAACACAAACUGGUAUUCAGCACUUAACAAAUCUCCAUUUGAAGUUCUUUAUGGCCAUGGCCCUCGGCAAUUUGGAAUUUCUGCUUCAGAUUACAUUGACCAUGUUGAUUUGCAGCAAUGGUUAGAUGCUCGGGCAGUUGUUCAGCAGUCAGUGCGCCAACAUUUGUUGCGUGUUCAGCAAAGAAUGAAGCAUCAGGCUGACAAGAAACGCACUGAAAGGACAUUUGUUGUUCGUGAUCGGGUAUUUCUCAAACUUCAACCAUAUGUGCAAUCUUCUGUGGCGCACAGAGCUAAUCACAAGCUCACCUUCAAGUACUUUGUCCCAUUUCUCAUCCUGGAUAAGAUUGGAGAGGUGGCUUAUCGCGUGCAGCUUCCAGCAGCCAGCCGUAUACAUCAUGUCUUCCAUGUUUCACAACUAAAAUGUUGCGUGUAG
rnacentral:rRNA from 1 species